UACGAAGGGGGCUAGCGUUGCUCGGAAUCACUGGGCGUAAAGCGCACGUAGGCGGAUUGCUAAGUCAGGGGUGAAAUCCUGGAGCUCAACUCCAGAACUGCCUUUGAUACUGAGGAUCUUGAGUUCGGGAGAGGUGAGUGGAACUGCGAGUGUAGAGGUGAAAUUCGUAGAUAUUCGCAAGAACACCAGUGGCGAAGGCGGCUCACUGGCCCGAUACUGACGCUGAGCACGAAAGCGUGGGGAGCAACAGGAGUUAAGA
rnacentral:rRNA from 1 species